AAGCAACAGCGGGCACAGGCUGGCUGUUGAUAUCUCGCUGAUGAGCUACUGGCAAAAAGGAUCUCCAGCAUCCGUUUUGUUUUCUUGGGGAAAGGCGUUGUUAGAUUUAAUAUUUCUCUGCCAUCGUCGUUAACGUCUCAAGUGCCCGGCGUUUCAAGUCAAGAAACCGCAGCAACGUCUGUUGCCCUUGUGUGGCAUUGCAGAUUCAUCUGGUGUUGCUUCACAACGCGAAUAAAGAAAUGAAGGCGAUCGAAGUAUUCGGGCUCUACAUCGUGUUCAUUAUUUUUCCUCUUGGACACUUGCAAAACGUAACAAUAUCUCCAUCUGCAAAUCUAACUAAUAGCAACUCCACCAUAGCAUCAACACAGUAUAAUACAUCCGUAUCAUUUCUUCCAAACAAUGAAACUUGGAAUGCUACAUCUGCCGCACCUAUAAAUGGUUCAGCAGUAGCCAUCACAACGUCGCCAGCAACAUCGUUGCAACCCAAUGGAACGGUGACAUCAAAUAUUUCAGCUGUGAACAGUUCUAUAGAAACAUCAACAUCAUUAAAUGCAACUUCUGCACCAUCAAGCCUUUUUCCCAAUGAAACGGUGAACGGUACAUCCCCUGCUCCUCCAUCAGCACCGGCUCCCAAUGCAACAGUGAACGGUACAUCCCCUGCUCCAUCAGCACCGGCUCCCAAUGCAACAG